rnacentral:rRNA from 1 species
GUGAGGAAUAUUGGUCAAUGGACGAGAGUCUGAACCAGCCAAGUCGCGUGAAGGAAGACGGUUCUAUGAAUUGUAAACUUCUUUUGUGCAGGAAUAAAGUGGGUUACGUGUAACCUUUUGUAUGUACUGUACGAAUAAGGAUCGGCUAACUCCGUGCCAGCAGCCGCGGUAAUACGGAGGAUCCGAGCGUUAUCCGGAUUUAUUGGGUUUAAAGGGUGCGUAGGUGGCAUGAUAAGUCAGCGGUGAAAGUUUGCAGCUUAACUGUAAAAUUGCCGUUGAAACUGUCGGUCUUGAGUGCAAAUGAGGUGGGCGGAAUGUGUUGUGUAGCGGUGAAAUGCUUAGAUAUAACACAGAACUCCGAUUGCGAAGGCAGCUUACUGGGAUGCAACUGACACUGAUGCACGAAAGCGUGGGUAUCAAACAGGAUUAGAAACCCUGGUAGUCC